rnacentral:rRNA from 1 species
UACAGAGGUCUCAAGCGUUGUUCGGAUUCAUUGGGCGUAAAGGGUGCGUAGGCGGCGCCGUAAGUCAGGUGUGAAAUUUCGGAGCUUAACUCCGAAACUGCAUUUGAUACUGCGGUGCUUGAGGACUGGAGAGGAGACUGGAAUUUACGGUGUAGCAGUGGAAUGCGUAGAGAUCGUAAGGAAGACCAGUGGCGAAGGCGGGUCUCUGGACAGUUCCUGACGCUGAGGCACGAAGGCCAGGGGAGCAAACGGG